AGGUCGCCUCCUGGCGGGACCGCCGGACUCCAAAUCCAGCGGGCAGGGUUCGAUUCCCUGGCGGC
rnacentral:tRNA from 1 species